rnacentral:rRNA from 1 species
GACGAACGCUGGCGGCGUGCUUAACACAUGCAAGUCGAACGGAAAGGCCCUGCUUCUGUGGGGUGCUCGAGUGGCGAACGAGUGAGUAACACGUGAGUAACCUGCCCUUGACUUUGGGAUAACUUCAGGAAACUGGGGCUAAUACCGGAUAGGAGCUCCUGUUGCAUGGUGGGGGUUGGAAAGUUUGGGCGGAUGGGGAUGGACUCGCGGCUUAUCAGCUUGUUGGUGGGGUAGUGGCUUACCAAGGCUUUGACGGGUGGCCGGCCUGAGUGGGUGAUCGGGCACAUUGGGACUGGGAUACCGCCCAGACUCCUACGGGAGGCAAGAGUGGGGGAUAUUGCACAAUGGGCGGAAGCCUGAUGCAGCAACGCCGCGGGCGGGGUGACGGCCUUCGUGUUGUAGUCCGCUUUCGCCUGUGAGGAAGCGUGAGUGACAGGAAUGGGUAAAGAAGCACCGGCUAACUACGUG